rnacentral:lncRNA from 1 species
UAUUAAACGAUUAAUCCAAUAUUUUAACUAUUGAAUAUUUGAUCCAUUGACAAAAGUUUUUUUUUUUUUUAAUUUUUAUCUUUUAACUCUGACAUCUAUCCUUAAAUAAUUGACCGCCUUUAGAAAAUUAUCUCUCAACGGUGGCUGAGGACAGCAAUGUUGUAUAAAUUCAAUAAAUUUCUUUUUAAUUUUGGGAAAGUUUUACAGAGGGUGUCCACUUUUUAAAUCAAAAUUUAUUUGGGCGGGCUUCUUUAUAGGUAGGAUUGUUUCAGCAUGGAUAUAAUAAUUUAUAUUAGAAAAAAAAUUACAAAUAAUGAGUAAUGACGUCAUUUCAUAAGAAACAUUCAGAUUAUAUUUUACAUGAACAUCUACAUAUGAUAUUUUUAAUUUUGUGGUCAGUUUUAUCCAUACUCGUCAUCUAAUCCGUGUUUUGGGAUAUAAGGAAUUAAUAUUUCGCAUAAUAAAUUGAAGUACAUUCGUCUCCUGGAAAAAGACCAUCUCCUCUGAGUCUCUGACUCUGCAUUCCAAUCUACAAUCACGACAAUGUCUUCAUUUACUAAAAGGAAUUAAACCCCUUGAGGUUUUUUGACGUUGUAGAGAAGACUAUGAGUCAAAGUCAAAGAAAAGGAUAUAACCUGUAGUUCCUCAUAGUGGGGAGGAAUAAGGAUACUUAUGUUUCAUUUGAGUUACAUGAAUCAAAUAAAAUAGUGAAAUCAGAAAUUGAAUCCUUAUUUCUAGAAUCCUAGAGUCACACCAGAGAUGAAGCAAAAAGUUAGCCGGGCAGCUUUAAAGACGAUUUCUCACUUUAAUCAUUCAGCCACAACAGUAUCAGAAGCCCUGAAAGUGUGCAAACAUCUUCUUUAGCUCAAUCUCACCCUUGCUCACGCCAAGCUGCUGUUUGAUUACCAAGAAGACCCUCGUGACUACACAAUACGACUUGGUUUCUACAGCGCGAAAGUGCUGAAACAUCUUGUUGUGCAGAAAGGACUAGAAGGUAGGAAGGAACUGAAAGACUUGCAGGUCGACGAACCAUUUUUUUAUAUCGUCAAAAGUCUUUCUUUCCUCUUCCCAGAAAAAUUAUUUUGUUCAUCCAGUUCCAGCUCAAUCAACAUAUCCUCAACACAAUGCCUUGGCUUUGGCAAGUGAACAACUGCGCGGACACAUUUUUUAUUUAUUUUGCCAUGUACUCGGUUUUUCAAAUCGACUGGUGUUCCACAGUUCAGGUAUGUACAUCACCAUAGAAUAA